UACGGGGGGGGCAAGCGUUGUUCGGAAUUACUGGGCGUAAAGGGCUCGUAGGCGGCCCUCUCAGUCGGAUGUGAAAUCCCCAGGCUUAACCUGGGAACGGCAUCCGAUACUGGAGGGCUUGAAUUCGGGAGAGGGAUGCAGAAUUCCAGGUGUAGCGGUGAAAUGCGUAGAUAUCUGGAGGAAUACCGGUGGCGAAGGCGGCAUCCUGGACCAUUACUGACGCUGAGGCGCGAAAGCUAGGGGAGCAAACGGG
rnacentral:rRNA from 1 species